rnacentral:rRNA from 1 species
UACGGAGGAGGCAAGCGUUAUCCGGAAUUAUUGGGCGUAAAGCGUCCGUAGGUGGCUAGUCAAGUCUGCGGUCAAAGACCGGGGCUUAACUUCGGAAAGGCAGUGGAAACUGAACAGCUAGAGUAUGGUAGGGGCAGAGGGAAUUCCUGGUGUAGCGGUGAAAUGCGUAGAGAUCAGGAAGAACAUCGGUGGCGAAGGCGCUCUGCUGGACCAUAACCGACACUCAGGGACGAAAGCUAGGGGAGCGAAUGGG